rnacentral:rRNA from 1 species
GACGAACGCUGGCGGCGUGCUUAACACAUGCAAGUCGAACGGAAAGGCCCUGCUUUUGUGGGGUGCUCGAGUGGCGAACGGGUGAGUAACACGUGAGUAACCUGCCCUUGACUUUGGGAUAACUUCAGGAAACUGGGGCUAAUACCGGAUAGGAGCUCCUGCUGCAUGGUGGGGGUUGGAAAGUUUCGGCGGUUGGGGCUGGACUCGCGGCUUAUCAGCUUGUUGGUGGGGUAGUGGCUUACCAAGGCUUUGACGGGUAGCCGGCCUGAGAGGGUGACCGGCCACAUUGGGACUGAGAUACGGCCCAGACGCCUACGGGAGGCAGCAGUGGGGAAUAUUGCACAAUGGGCGGAAGCCUGAUGCAGCAACGCCGCGUGCGGGAUGACGGCCUUCGGGGUGUAAACCGCUUUCUCCUGUGACGAAGCGUGAGUGACGGUAAUGGGUAAAGAAGCACCGGCUAACUACGUG